GGGGUUGUAGCUCAGUGGUACAGCGCUUGCUUUGCAAGUGUGACGUACUGGGUUCAAUCCUCAGCAACACAU
rfam:Ictidomys tridecemlineatus contig002992, whole genome shotgun sequence.